CCGCAACGAGCGCAACCCCCACCGCCAGUUACCAGCGAAUAAAGUUGGGGACUCUGGCGGAACUGCCGGUGACAAACCGGAGGAAGGCGGGGAUGACGUCAAGUCAUCAUGGCCCUUAUGUCCAGGGCUACACACGUGCUACAAUGGGCGCUACAGAGCGAAGCGAAGCCGCGAGGCCGGAGCGAAGCGCAAAAAGGCGCCCGUAGUUCGGAUUGAAGUCUGAAACCCGACUUCAUGAAGUUGGAAUCGCUAGUAAUCGCGCAUCAGCAUGGCGCGGUGAAUACGUUCCCGGGCCUUGUACACACCGCCCGUCACACCAUCCGAGUUGGGGAUACCCGAAGCCGGCAGUCUAACCGCAAGGAGGACGCUGUCGAAGGUAUGCUUAGUGAGGAGGGUGAAGUCGUAACAAGGUAGCCGUACUGGAAAGUGCGGCUGGAUCACCUCCUUUCU
rnacentral:rRNA from 1 species